rnacentral:rRNA from 1 species
GACGAACGCUGGCGGCGUGCUUAACACAUGCAAGUCGAACGGAAAGGCCCUGCUUUGGUGGGGUGCUCGAGUGGCGAACGGGUGAGUAACACGUGAGUAACCUGCCCUGGACUUCGGGAUAACUCCAGGAAACUGGGGCUAAUACCGGAUAGGAGCUCCUGCUGCAUGGUGGGGGGGGGAGAUUUUCCGCGGUGGGGGAUGGACGCGCGGUUUAUCAGUUUGUGGGUGGGGUAGUGGUUUACCAACGCUGUGAGGGGUACCCGGCCUGAGGGGGUGAGGGGACACUGUGGGAGUGAGACGGGCCCGAGUCUCAUGCGGGGGGGAACAGUGGGGGAUAGUACACAAUGGGCGGGACUGAGAUAGAGCAGCGGCGCGUGCGAGGAGGGGCCCUGGGGUGUAUACUCCGCUUUCUAGUGAGGAGGCGCGUGAGUGACGGUACCGGGUGAAGAAGCACCGGCUAACUACGUG